CACUAUCGUUAACUGAAUACAUAGGUUAACGAGGCGAACCGGGGGAACUGAAACAUCUAAGUACCCCGAGGAAAAGAAAUCAACCGAGAUUCCCCCAGUAGCGGCGAGCGAACGGGGAGCAGCCCAGAGUCUGAAUCAGCUUGUGUGUUAGUGGAACGGUCUGGAAAGUCCGACGGUACAGGGUGAUAGUCCCGUACACCAAAAUGCACAGGCUGUGAACUCGAAGAGUAGGGCGGGACACGUGGUAUCCUGUCUGAAUAUGGGGGGACCAUCCUCCAAGGCUAAAUACUCCUGACUGACCGAUAGUGAACCAGUACCGUGAGGGAAAGGCGAAAAGAACCCCGGCGAGGGGAGUGAAAAAGAACCUGAAACCGUGUACGUACAAGCAGUGGGAGCACCUUCGGGUGUGACUGCGUACCUUUUGUAUAAUGGGUCAGCGACUUAUAUUCUGUAGCAAGGUUAACCGUAUAGGGGAGCCGCAGGGAAACCGAGUCUUAACUGGGCGUUAAGUUGCAGGGUAUAGACCCGAAACCCGGUGAUCUAGCCAUGGGCAGGUUGAAGGUUGGGUAACACUAACUGGAGGACCGAACCGACUAAUGUUGAAAAAUUAGCGGAUGACUUGUGGCUGGGGGUGAAAGGCCAAUCAAACCGGGAGAUAGCUGGUUCUCCCCGAAAGCUAUUUAGGUAGCGCCUCGUGAACUCAUCUUCGGGGGUAGAGCACUGUUUCGGCUAGGGGGUCAUCCCGACUUACCAACCCGAUGCAAACUACGAAUACCGAAGAAUGUUAUCACGGGAGACACACGGCGGGUGCUAACGUCCGUCGUGAAGAGGGAAACAACCCAGACCGCCAGCUAAGGUCCCAAAGUCAUGGUUAAGUGGGAAACGAUGUGGGAAGGCACAGACAGCCAGGAUGUUGGCUUAGAAGCAGCCAUCAUUUAAAGAAAGCGUAAUAGCUCACUGGUCGAGUCGGCCUGCGCGGAAGAUGUAACGGGGCUAAACCAUGCACCGAAGCUGCGGCAGCGACACUAUGUGUUGUUGGGUAGGGGAGCGUUCUGUAAGCCUGCGAAGGUGUGCUGUGAGGCAUGCUGGAGGUAUCAGAAGUGCGAAUGCUGACAUAAGUAACGAUAAAGCGGGUGAAAAGCCCGCUCGCCGGAAGACCAAGGGUUCCUGUCCAACGUUAAUCGGGGCAGGGUGAGUCGACCCCUAAGGCGAGGCCGAAAGGCGUAGUCGAUGGGAAACAGGUUAAUAUUCCUGUACUUGGUGUUACUGCGAAGGGGGGACGGAGAAGGCUAUGUUAGCCGGGCGACGGUUGUCCCGGUUUAAGCAUGUAGGCUGGUUAUCCAGGCAAAUCCGGAUAAUCAAGGCUGAGGUGUGAUGACGAGGCACUACGGUGCUGAAGUAACAAAUGCCCUGCUUCCAGGAAAAGCCUCUAAGCAUCAGGUAACAUCAAAUCGUACCCCAAACCGACACAGGUGGUCAGGUAGAGAAUACCAAGGCGCUUGAGAGAACUCGGGUGAAGGAACUAGGCAAAAUGGUGCCGUAACUUCGGGAGAAGGCACGCUGGUGUGUAGGUGAAGUCCCUGCGGAUGGAGCUGAGACCAGUCGAAGAUACCAGCUGGCUGCAACUGUUUAUUAAAAACACAGCACUGUGCAAACACGAAAGUGGACGUAUACGGUGUGACGCCUGCCCGGUGCCGGAAGGUUAAUUGAUGGGGUUAUCCGUAAGGAGAAGCUCUUGAUCGAAGCCCCGGUAAACGGCGGCCGUAACUAUAACGGUCCUAAGGUAGCGAAAUUCCUUGUCGGGUAAGUUCCGACCUGCACGAAUGGCGUAAUGAUGGCCAGGCUGUCUCCACCCGAGACUCAGUGAAAUUGAACUCGCUGUGAAGAUGCAGUGUACCCGCGGCAAGACGGAAAGACCCCGUGAACCUUUACUAUAGCUUGACACUGAACAUUGAGCCUUGAUGUGUAGGAUAGGUGGGAGGCUUUGAAGCGUGGACGCCAGUCUGCGUGGAGCCAACCUUGAAAUACCACCCUUUAAUGUUUGAUGUUCUAACGUUGGCCCCUGACCGGGGUUGCGGACAGUGUCUGGUGGGUAGUUUGACUGGGGCGGUCUCCUCCCAAAGCGUAACGGAGGAGCACGAAGGUUAGCUAAUCCUGGUCGGACAUCAGGAGGUUAGUGCAAUGGCAUAAGCUAGCUUGACUGCGAGCGUGACGGCGCGAGCAGGUGCGAAAGCAGGUCAUAGUGAUCCGGUGGUUCUGAAUGGAAGGGCCAUCGCUCAACGGAUAAAAGGUACUCCGGGGAUAACAGGCUGAUACCGCCCAAGAGUUCAUAUCGACGGCGGUGUUUGGCACCUCGAUGUCGGCUCAUCACAUCCUGGGGCUGAAGUAGGUCCCAAGGGUAUGGCUGUUCGCCAUUUAAAGUGGUACGCGAGCUGGGUUUAGAACGUCGUGAGACAGUUCGGUCCCUAUCUGCCGUGGGCGCUGGAGAAUUGAGGGGGGCUGCUCCUAGUACGAGAGGACCGGAGUGGACGCAUCACUGGUGUUCGGGUUGUCAUGCCAAUGGCACUGCCCGGUAGCUAAAUGCGGAAGAGAUAAGUGCUGAAAGCAUCUAAGCACGAAACUUGCCCCGAGAUGAGUUCUCCCUGAGACUAUAAGUCUCCUGAAGGAACGUU
rnacentral:rRNA from 1 species